rnacentral:lncRNA from 1 species
GAGUUAUCAUGAAUCAUCGCAGCAAGGGACAGAGCUCGCGUCGACCUUUUAUCUAAUAAAUGCAUCCCUUUCAGAAGUUGGGGUUUGUUGCACGUAUUAGCUCUAGAAUUACUACGGUUAUUCGAGUAGUAGAUACCAUCAAACAAACUAUAACUGAUUUAAUGAGCCAUUCGCAGUUUCACAGUCUGAAUUUGUUCAUACUUACACAUGCAUGGCUUCUACGGUUAUUCGAGUAGUAGAUACCAUCAAACAAACUAUAACUGAUUUAAUGAGCCAUUCGCAGUUUCACAGUCAGAAUUUGUUCAUACAUACACAUGCAUGGCUUAAUCUUUGAGAGAAGCAUAUGACUACUGGCAGGAUCAACCGCGUAGCAUUCCUCAUUGACGCCGGCAUCGCAUGAGCGUGGCCAACCCAAAAGGGCACGGCCAAGUCCAAGGCGAGCACGACUGUCAUUCGUAAGGAGCAUUCUUUGGGCAAAUAGAAGCCAAUGAAGGCCCCGUGCCCAUUGCGUUUACCGAAUCCGAGAGCCCGAGCAUGCUAAGUCGUGGACCAAGCCAUUGCAAGGCGAAGCCAGGACGACCUGGGACACAACUGGAGCUUUUGGUUCACCCCGCACGUCGAACGCGAGGGGCGAAAG